AUUGAACGCUGGCGGCAGGCCUAACACAUGCAAGUCGAACGAGUGGCGGACGGGUGAGUAAUGUCUGGGAACCUGCCCGCUGGAGGGGGAUCACUACUGGAAACGGUAGCUAAUACCGCAUACCAUCGGAUGUGCCCAGGUGGGAUUAGCUAGUAGGUGGGGUAACGGCUCACCUAGGCGACGAUCCCUAGCUGGUCUGAGAGGAAGACCAGGCACAUGGGAACUGAGACACGGCCCAGACUCCUACGGGAGGAAGCAGUGGGAAAUAUUGCACAAUGGGCGAAAGCCUGAUGCAGCCAGGCCGCGUGUGUUAAGAAGCCCUUCGGGUUGAAAAGUACUUUCAGCGGGGAGGCGUUACUCGCAGAAGAAGCACCGGCUAACUCCGUGCCAGCAGCCGCGGUAAUUC
rnacentral:rRNA from 1 species